GUAUGUUUCCAUCUAGUUCUUGUUCUUAUCGAGCUAAACGGACAAAUCUGCACUCUCUUUCCCUGUUACCCAUCUCGUUCUUCUUCUCUUUGAACAAAAAAGUUUUUCUCCUCUAAUUAUUUAUCACCAAUGGAGCUUAAUCACCACCCUCAUCUCAAUAUCAAAACCUUGCAUCAGCAGAAAUCAAAAGCAAACCCUUUUUCUGUAACCCUAAAUCUAGUUUUUUGAUGCCUGAAAUCCUAGGGUUUGAGUAAUCGAAAGAUGAAAAUAUGACUUAAGUCAACUCAAUGUCAACUAUGAUUUAGUUUUUACUUGAGAUUAUUGUUAUUUGAUUAGAUUAGAUUUGAUUGGUAUUGUUUAAAUCGAUCUCAAGAUAUAGAUUCAUCACCAACGACAUCAGUAGCAUUCCUUGCAGAUCUUUGGUUAUGUCAAUGAUUCUGGUGUUGAUGCUGGGUUUUUGAUAUCAUGAUCAAAGUUGGUAAGAGCUCUUACUGCACAUGAAGGGUAUGCUAAAAUCGAAUUAAAUUCAUUUCUUGUGUCCAGGACAUCUAUGAGAAUUAUAAUCUUUUUAAAAAAACAAGAGAGUAUGUGAUCUGCAUUUCUCGGAAAUGGUGGAAAAUUUCAUUUCUAAGGUGGUGUAUAUUGUGUUUAGCAGGGAUAAAAGGGCGCCGAUUUUGUACUCGAUUUUGGCUCUUCUCAAGUUCAUUCAAUCUUUUAGCUGUAAUAUAACUUAUACAAUUAAUAUUACCAGGUUUAGUUAAUUUUUUGUGUUUAAACCUGUGAGAGGUGACCGUAACAAACUGCUAUGCACGUUCCUAUAUCUUUUGUGGUAGUUGUAGGUUGAACUUCGAACUGUAGAUAGGUUGGUGAAGGGUAGUACAACGUGCUCUGAAUGGUUAUAAUUCAUUUCAAUUGAAGUCAAGGCACAUCUUUUCUGGAGAAGAUAAUGGAGUUGUUGGAAGUGACAGUCAUAAAGUGAAAGAUGACAGACCUUCGAGAAUAAAAGUAUAAUGUUCAUCAUAUACAGAUGAUCUUGUAACUUCAACUUACACAAGUGCAGCAAGCAGCUGCCUGCUCACAAAUAUUCUUCCAGGUUCAAAAGAGUCUGUCUUUAACAACAAAUAUUGGAGUAGUAUAAAGGAGAGUGGGUUCCCCGCAAAUUCCUGUUACUAUUGGUUUUUGAGGAACUUCAGGAAAAGAGCACUUGCAAAUGCAUAUGUUGAUAGCGCAAAGCCUCCAACAGUUGACGAUUUUGACUGCCAAAUUGAUGAAAUUGUGGAUGCAAGUGCGAUGUUACGCAAUAGAGAUGGCGUACUUGGAUAUGUUUCAGUAGGUUAGGUGGCCAAAAACUUGUGUAAAUCUUAUAGAAGAGCUACCAAAUUAGAGUGGUGAAGUUAGGUAACAGUUUAGUAAAUCGAAUUCAGUUAAAAAAAUAUCAGUUUCAAUAUUUGGAUGUAAUUUCAAAUUGCUUAUGUUGUUUGAUGAAUAUACAUUUACUCUGCAAUCUGUAUUCAGGAAUUUGAUGUAAUUUUCAGUAAUUAAUGUAAAGUUAAACUCAUUUUGAAAA